CCUUUCCCGGCUUUCUUAUCAUGCAAGAUCGAGCGGACAGAUGGGAGCUUGCUCCCUGAUGUUAGCGGCGGACGGGCUGUUUUUAUCACGUGGGUAACCUGCCUGUAAGACUGGGAUAACUCCGUUGAAACCGGGGCUAAUACCGGAUGGUUGUUUGAACCGCAUGGUUCAAACAUAAAAGGUGGCUUCGGCUACCACUUACAGAUGGACCCGCGGCGCAUUAGCUAGUUGGUGAGGUAAUGGCUCACCAAGGCAACGAUGCGUAGCCGACCUGAGAGGGUGAUCGGCCACACUGGGACUGAGACACGGCCCAGACUCCUACGGGAGGCAGCAGUAGGGAAUCUUCCGCAAUGGACGAAAGUCUGACGGAGCAACGCCGCGUGAGUGAUGAAGGUUUCGGAUCCUAAAGCUCUGUUGUUAGGGAAGACAAGACCGUUCGAUAGGUGGUACCUUGUGUGACCUAACAGAUGUACGGCUAAUACUGCUG
rnacentral:rRNA from 1 species